GUGAACGCUGGCGGUAGGCCUAACACAUGCCAGUCGCACGGCAGCACAGUAAGAGCUUGCUCUUACGGGUGGCGAGUGGCGGACGGGUGAGGAAUACAUCGGAAUCUACUUUUUCGUGGGGGAUAACGUAGGGAAACUUACGCUAAUACCGCAUACGACCUACGGGUGAAAGCAGGGGAUCUUCGGACCUUGCGCGAUUGAAUGAGCCGAUGUCGGAUUAGCUAGUUGGCGGGGUAAAGGCCCACCAAGGCGACGAUCCGUAGCUGGUCUGAGAGGAUGAUCAGCCACACUGGAACUGAGACACGGUCCAGACUCCUACGGGAGGCAGCAGUGGGGAAUAUUGGACAAUGGGCGCAAGCCUGAUCCAGCCAUACCGCGUGGGUGAAGAAGGCCUGCGGGUUGUAAAGCCCUUUUGUUGGGAAAGAAAAGCAGCAGGUUAAUACCCCGCUGUUCUGACGGUACCCAAAGAAUAAGCACCGGCUAACUUCGG
rnacentral:rRNA from 1 species